rnacentral:rRNA from 1 species
GARAAAGUUGAUCCUGGCUCAGAUUGAACGCUGGCGGCAGGCCUAACACAUGCAAGUCGAACGGUAGCACAGAGAGCUUGCUCUCGGGUGACGAGUGGCGGACGGGUGAGUAAUGUCUGGGAAACUGCCCGAUGGAGGGGGAUAACUACUGGAAACGGUAGCUAAUACCGCAUAAUGUCGCAAGACCAAAGAGGGGGACCUUCGGGCCUCUUGCCAUCGGAUGUGCCCAGAUGGGAUUAGCUWGUAGGUGRGGUAACGGCUCACCUAGGCGACGAUCCCUAGCUGGUCUGAGAGGAUGACCAGCCACACUGGAACUGAGACACGGUCCAGACUCCUACGGGAGGCAGCAGUGGGGAAUAUUGCACAAUGGGCGCAAGCCUGAUGCAGCCAUGCCGCGUGUAUGAAGAAGGCCUUCGGGUUGUAAAGUACUUUCAGCGAGGAGGAAGGCGUUGUGGUUAAUAACCACAGCGAUUGAC